UAUGAGGGAGCUGUAGGUGAU
rnacentral:siRNA from 1 species